ACGAAUCAAAAUGGCGGAGCAGGGUUCUCGCUCUUCAGUAGAGUUUAGUACUUUGAAAUUAAAAGAAAAUUAAAAAAUAUUGGCCCUCGGAGUUCAUAUAUUUGCACCAUAUGUCAGUAAGGCUAAACAAUCGAAUUAUUACAUGGUACUUGCAUAGAGCUGAAGUCAGCCCCCGAAAUAGCUGGUUAUCUCAUGGACUCUCCAUUCCCACUCCUAUGACGCCAUGUAUAAAGAUGAUUUCCUUGUGCUAUGGCUCUGACCCCAGUUCUAACUCAAUGGGAUCUGGUUGAAGGGAAUCACCUGUUGGUCAGGAGUGUUAAUAACUGAUGUCAAUACACCUCCAGUAUUCACUACUUCCUCUACUGGCAACUGGCACUAUACCCUGUGCCUGUGACAGUGACAAGAUUGGUUCGCCUCCUACUCCUGUCACAGGGUUUACCUGGAAAACUUCACAGCAGGACCUGAACCACUAACUUUGACCAAACCUUGCAUCUGUGCAGUGAUUUAAUCUUUACUAAAUUUGUACUGGUGGAGUUGGAAGUGUAAAUUAUUAAAUACAGGCAUUAUAUUGAA